GAGGGUAUAGCUCAGUGGUAGAGCGCAUGCUUAGCACAAGGUCCUGGGUUCAAUCCCCAGUACUUCCA
rnacentral:tRNA from 1 species